AUGUCCACACGCUGCAGCAGGCGCUGGACGUUGCCCCGCCGCCUCGUCUUCGCACGGCACAAGACUGUGCGGAGCACGCUAAGCGGCGGAACCGCCUCCUCGUCGCCCAUGAGGACGAGCGGGUCAUGGCGGAGUGGCGCCAAUAACACCCGGAGGACGUCUCCUACGAGCAAGGCUACUGGGCAAGGCACCGCGAGGAGGAGACGCAAAGGCGCCACACUGAGCGGUUGGACAGGCGUCGGCGGAAGGCCCUAG
rnacentral:rRNA from 1 species